CGGUUGUCCCGGUUUAAGCAUGUAGGCUGGUUGUCCAGGCAAAUCCGGAUAAUCAAGGCUGAGGUGUGAUGACGAGGUACUACGGUGCUGAAGUAACAAAUGCCCUGCUUCCAGGAAAAGCCUCUAAGCAUCAGGUAACAUCAAAUCGUACCCCAAACCGACACAGGUGGUCAGGUAGAGAAUACCAAGGCGCUUGAGAGAACUCGGGUGAAGGAACUA
rnacentral:rRNA from 1 species